AUGCCAUGAUGUGGGCAUUUUCUGAGCAAAUCCUUAAACCGUGUGAAAGCCUCAUGGAAUGUUUCCCCUAAAUGUUGUUGGAAUGCUCUGAUUAAUUCCCAAGCUU
rfam:Helianthus annuus linkage group 9, whole genome shotgun sequence.